CAGCAGCCGCGGGAAUACGUAGGUGGCAAGCGUUGUCCGGAAUUAUUGGGCGUAAAGGGCUCGCAGGCGGUUUCUUAAGUCUGAUGUGAAAGCCCCCGGCUCAACCGGGGAGGGUCAUUGGAAACUGGGAAACUUGAGUGCAGAAGAGGAGAGUGGAAUUCCACGUGUAGCGGUGAAAUGCGUAGAGAUGUGGAGGAACACCAGUGGCGAAGGCGACUCUCUGGUCUGUAACUGACGCUGAGGAGCGAGAGCGUGGGGAGCGAACAGGAUUAGAUACCCCUGUAGUCCCUGUCUCUUAUAC
rnacentral:rRNA from 1 species